GACGAACGCUGGCGGCGUGCUUAACACAUGCAAGUCGAACGGUGAAGCUCCAGCUUGCUGGAGUGGAUCAGUGGCGAACGGGUGAGUAACACGUGAGCAACCUGCCCCUGACUCUGGAAUAAGCGCUGGAAACGGCGUCUAAUACUGGAUACGAGAAGGGUCCGCAUGGGCACUUUCUGGAAAGUUUUUCGGUUGGGGAUGGGCUCGCGGCCUAUCAGCUUGUUGGUGAGGUAAUGGCUCACCAAGGCGACGACGGGUAGCCGGCCUGAGAGGGCGACCGGCCACACUGGGACUGAGACACGGCCCAGACUCCUACGGGAGGCAGCAGUGGGGAAUAUUGCCCAAUGGGCGAAGGCCUGAUGCAGCGCCGCCGCGUGGGGGAUGACGGCCUUCGGGUUGUAAACCUCUUUCAGCAGGGAAGAAGCGAAAGUGACGGUACCUGCAGAAGAAACACCGGCUAACUACGU
rnacentral:rRNA from 1 species